rnacentral:rRNA from 1 species
CGGGUGGUAAUGCCGGAUGUUCCACAUGAUCGCAUGUGAUUGUGGGAAAGAUUCUAUCGGCGUGGGAUGGGGUCGCGUCCUAUCAGCUUGUUGGUGAGGUAACGGCUCACCAAGGCUUCGACGGGUAGCCGGCCUGAGAGGGCGACCGGCCACAUUGGGACUGAGAUACGGCCCAGACUCCUACGGGAGGCAGCAGUGGGGAAUAUUGCACAAUGGGCGCAAGCCUGAUGCAGCGACGCCGCGUGAGGGAUGGAGGCCUUCGGGUUGUAAACCUCUUUUGUUUGGGAGCAAGCCUUCGGGUGAGUGUACCUUUCGAAUAAGCGCCGGCUAACUACGUGCCAGCAGCCGCGGUAAUACGUAGGGCGCAAGCGUUAUCCGGAUUUAUUGGGCGUAAAGGGCUCGUAGGCGGCUCGUCGCGUCCGGUGUGAAAGUCCAUCGCUUAACGGUGGAUCUGCGCCGGGUACGGGCGGGCUGGAGUGCGGUAGGGGAGACUGGAAUUCCCGGUGUAACGGUGGAAUGUGUAGAUAUCGGGAAGAACACCA